rnacentral:ribozyme from 1 species
AGAAGGAGAAAGACGAUCCCAACAGACCCUUCGUUCCAAUCAGUCUGAUCAUCUCUUUUUUUUUUUUUUUUUUUUUUUUUUUUUUUUUUUU